AUGAUAUAGAGAUUAUGUUUAUUACUAUUAUCAUUACUAGUAUUUAUUUUACUAUUGAUAUUAGGUUUAUUCGAUGGAAGAAUCCCCAUCCAUGGAUCAAAGUAGACCCUGAAAGUACACAAAAGCUGAUCAAGGGUGGACAGAAGUACCAGGUAAAUGCGGCCAUUGAACAACUUAAACGCGAAAUUGGCAGCAGCAAGUGAACAUGGAUGCAUUACUUGCCACUAAAUAGGCAUAAUAACGGGUAUAACAACAUCAACAAAUACCUACACAUGUUAAGUGUGUAUCUUCAUGUUGCUUAAAUACGUCACAGGUCCAAAGGUGUAAUUCUCAAUGAACAAUUUUAACAUUUACGCUGUAACCAAAUCGACAUAAGUUAUUAGAAUCAGUAUUAGUGUAGGUUUACUUGUAGAUAAUAGAGAGUUCUCGAAAUUACAACGUAAGACGUUAUGCGUCACAACUUACCGACUUGACUCGUCUUACUCCGAAGAACGCAUGCGUAAUUAUGCACAAACUUUUAUUAUGUUGUGUAGGCUGGCAUGGAACUAACCGAUUCUCGUGCUAUGAAAACGUAUAGUAGGCCCUGUGUGGAAAGGUAACUAAUUUACAUGAUAUAUACGUUGUGAUUUCGAGGAACUCCGUAUGGAGAAAGUGGGGAAAAAUAUUUAAAUAUUAGGCAAUUAUAUAGAACACAAUAUAUGAAUAAAAUAAUUAAAUUAAUUUUUGUAAAUAAUAAACAUAUAGUAUUUUGGCAGAUGAAAUAUAUUUAAAUCAAAACUAAAUAUAUGUUAAUUAUAUUGAUAUAUAAUUUUAUAGCGCUCAUAUUCUUUCCUUGCAAGGAAGAAAUGAAUCUCAAGACAAUUUUCAAAUUUGUGUUAAUUGGAUACAAUCAUGGACAAGUGCAAUUUCCCAGAUGCCAUGGGAAUUAUUCCACUGAAAUUCCACUUGGACUUAUAGCGUAUACGUUGCCAUACAUGUACCUCAGCACACACUAAUUUUCAUUCCAAAGCUUAGCUAUUGUAAUACCAGGUACAGACAGCAGGCAUGCUUAAAAAUGUUAUUCGCUGCUUCACAUUAAAAUAUUAUAUGGAAAAGCACGUGCUUCAA